ACAUUUUUUGUGGCACCUGUGCCAAUCUAGGUACCUUGUCUCUCAAGAGUUCUACCUGCGUUUCUAACUGUGCUUCCAUCUGAGCUUUUUUCCCCGUGUCUAAGCGGGUUUCCGGGAGCCGCCCUGAGCGCAGGGGUUGAAAUAAACAAGGCUCUCGGGAACCGGGAGGCGGGGAGUCUCACGCUUGGGGCGGAGGCGGCCGAGGUGAGCGCUCUGGGCGCCUGUGAGAAGGGAAGGCCCCGGCUGCUGGGCAGUCCUUGCGCUAAAGGGGAGGAGAAAGGACCUCCAGCUGGCAUGGGUCCGAGGCCAGCACGUCCUGCUGAGCCGCCGAGGGAAUGAGAGGCGAGGGCUGCGAGCUGUUGUUGGAAGGAAACGCAACCUUUGUUUUCUCAGAGGCAGAACUCUGGACACGCAAAUAUCUGUCUUGAGUCUCGGACGUACAGGUUCCGAGCCGCCGGCCUCCUGAGGUCCUCCGGUGUGAAAGGGGCGGGUGCUCGGGGCGGCUGGAGGAGCCCUGGGUCUCUUCCUCAAGGCGUCUCCCCAAACCUCACUUUCCAUCUGAGCCUUUUUUUUUUUUCUGGCCUCUACCUCUGUAUCGCAAGGAGCCGACUUGAAGGCAGGUCUUGCGAAUGAAAGCGGAUUGAUUUAAAGACUCAAGACGCAGUGGGUGGGGAGGCGGAGAGUUUGAAUGUCCGGGGAUCGGGUAGGCUGCGUGCGGGAGACUGAGAAGGACCCAGUGUCUGGGGUACUUCACUGUGCUGGGUGGCUGAGGAGCAGUGAAAUCAAGCGGCCAGGGCCCAAGGAGAGGGUAGCUGCAGGGGCUGCUGAGGGAACCGGGAGGAAGGGCUGAGGGAUGGGGUCAGAGCAGAUGGUCACCAGGCCGCACGGAGCCCCGGCGGAGACCCUCUGCCGCUGCCUGGCAGCACAUUCGAAUAGGCUCAGAGCCCGAGUGGAAGAAGGAAUGUGGGAGCACUCAGCACAGGCUCAUCGAUUUGGGGGUGGUUGGGGUGCCUCCAACACUCUGACCCAAAUGGCCUCACCUCAGGGAGGGGACUUAACACCUUCAGCAUCUGAUGGGCGUUUCCAGCCUGCCUGGGUGGCCCAGCUGCGGGAGAGUUUGACAGGUUCUCUGGGGAUGGAUUGCUUUCUGUUUCUCAGAGGCAGGACUCUGGACGGGAAAUGUCUGUCUUGAAUCUUGGCCCCGCCCCCCACCCAGGUCAUUGUCAUGCGUCAAAGGGGCUGAUGGUCGGGAAGGGAGCGUCUAACAGUGGUGCUGGUUCCACUGGGCGACUGUGCAAUUCGCUAGGCUUUGCGCUGCAAGACCCCUCCCCCAAAUUCCCUCCUCUCUUUCCUUUGGGGCCUCGUUUUCCUGUCCCCAAGCCCUGUUUCAGGGAGCAGACUUAAAGGUCUCGGGAAUUAAAGUAGGGUAAUUAAAAGGAUUUUAAUGCAUUAAGUUGGGGUGGGGGGGGUGCGUGCUGGGAGUCUUUAAGAGAAUUGCCCCUCUUUCUGGGCACUUCACUUGGCUUAGAAGGUGAGGAGGAAUUCUAUCAAGCUGGCAGUUGCCCAAGGCCAGGAGAGCCCUGGGGGGCUGCUGAGGGAAACCGGAGGAAAGGCUGAGAGUCAGUGUUAGAGGAGACGGCCUCCGGAAGGGGCCAGAGCACAGACAAAGCCCAUCUGAAGCCCCCUGGCUGCACCUCCAGGCUACGAGGUGGUGCCAAGAGGGGUUAGUGGGAGUCCUAGGAUGUGUUAAGAUGGCUCACAGGGCGCUAUUGACUCUCUGGCACAAAUUGACUCGCAUCAGGGAGCAGAAAGAUGUUUGCUUUCUGCAUCUGAUGGGUAGUUCCAUCCAGCUCUGGCUGCCCAGGGGCCAGAGAGGUGGACACAUUCUCUGGGGUUGGUUUGCUCUUAGUUUCUCAGGGGGCAGGGACACUGGACCCACAAUAUCUGCUUGAAUCUUGGCCUCACAAUUACCAAUCCUGCAGCUUCUGUAAAGUCAUCACAUGUCCAACGGGGCUGGUGGUCAUGAAGGGAGCUUGUGAAAGUGGUGCUAUUUUGAGGGGGCAGACAGGAAUCCCUGGGCUUUAUCUUUCAGGAGUUCUCCCCAGAUUCUUUCUUCCCCUUCCAUCUGAACCUCUAUGUCCUGUCUGCAAUCGCUGUUUCAAGGAGCAGAACUAAGGGAAGGGCCUGAGAGGGAAGGCAGCUGGGACUGAUUUAAAGAAGGCUCUCGCGCCCAGAAACACGCUACGGGCUGGGGUGUGACAAUCUCAGAGCCGGAACUCACCCCACACCCUGAAAUCAACAACCCCACUUGCCACCCUCCUUUUAAGUCAGGACAGCAGGCUUUGAAUCAGCAGCCUUCCUCCCUGGGACUCUGCUUGGAAUCCUAAACAAAUCAGCUGUGAUUCAC